CACACAUCUGGGCGAGGCCCCGCAGCACGGCCUGGGGAGCUGAGGCUUCGGGAUCCUGCACAAACUACCCCUCUGGGUGUAGACGGAGGAGUAAUCGCAGCGGUGGUGGCAGUCGAGACACGGCUCAAAGAGCCGGCAAGAAUAGAGCAGAGACCAGGAUCGCCCCAGGCAGGGAAAAAAUGACCAAUUCUGUAGUGUGACCCGAAGGUGAUGGAAUCACUCGGGCGUCCUCCUGGGAAAGGGCUGCCUGCCCCCACCGCCAGUACACCGGCGCCCAUGCCCCGGGGGCUGGAGAGAGCAGCCAGGCACAGCCCCCUCCAGCUUCCUGGGAGUCCAAUUUCCCAAGGUAGAACGGUGGCGGCAGAGCCUGGCCCUGUAGUGGGGCAGCUGCACCCAGGUGAGUGGCUUGCAGUUCCUGGAGCCCUGCAGGUUGUUGGAGAGGCAGGGAGCCCUUCUCCCUCCCACCUGCCCUCUUGCACUUCCUCUCCCAGAACCCAGCGCUACUCCCAGAGGCCCUGAGCUGAAGCCCUAGAAGGUAACCAUCUCCUGGCUGGACACAGAGAGGGCAAGUUGGGGCCAGGCGUGAGGACAGGUGCCCCAGGAGCCACCUGCUCCACUUAUCCACGAAGGCCUUAACUGGCUCAGGGGCCCAGAGCUCCCAUUCAAGCCCCAGCCUCCUGACCUUGUCCUGCCCUGGUGCUGCCAGUCGGGUGGAGGUGUCUCAGGGCCAGCUGGUCUCCUGGCAACUGAAGCCCGCGCUUCCCUUCCAUUCACUCAUUCCUUCCUUUCCUCACGCAGGAGGCGCUGCAAGGCUCAGUGCUCCUGGAGCCUUGAGUCUACGGUAUGAGUUAAACAGAAGGGUAUCUCCUCCAUCAGAUCUACAGGAGGGUGUCUCCUCCAUCAGACCUGAAGCUUCCAAGGCAUUUUACCCAAAGCUCCAGCACCUGUCCCAAGGCUGGGCUGUGCUGUGUCCUCAGUGAAAGAAUGGAUGAGUCACAAGUGAAUGACUGAAGAGCUGAACCAGUAGGUUUCCCUGGGGUUUCCACAGGCUGUUUCAGCCCAGGGGAAGACCCAGGGAGAUGAGGGUGACCUUGCAGGACGCUGUGGUGUGGAGGCAGCAGCCUGGGGCAGGGACUGUGGGUCCAGAAAGACUCAUCCACUGGAGUCUGUAUUUCCUGAGUCCGCUUCUCACUGCUGGAGCUGUUUAUCAUUGCUCCAACUUUCACUAAAAAGGAAAAACUAUCACUUAAACAAAGCCAUUGAAACCCCAACAUCAUAUGUGGAUUUUUUAACAUAAAUAAAUCAUACAAACUAAGAUUUAUGUUCUUGGAAUGAUAUCAU